UACGUAGGGUGCGAGCGUUGUUCGGAAUUACUGGGCGUAAAGGGCUCGUAGGCGGUCUUGUAAGUCUCGUGUGAAAUCCCUCGGCUUAACUGAGGAACUGCACGAGAUACUGCAAGACUUGAGAUCGGGAGAGGGAAGCGGAAUUCCGGGUGUAGCGGUGAAAUGCGUAGAUAUCCGGAGGAACACCGGUGGCGAAGGCGGCUUCCUGGACCGAUACUGACGCUGAGGCGCGAAAGCUAGGGGAGCAAACGGG
rnacentral:rRNA from 1 species